GAUGAAUGCUGGCAGCGUGCCUAACACAUGCAAGUCGAGCGGUAACAGGAGUAGUUUACUACUUGCUGACGAGCGGCGGACGGCUGAGUAACGCGUGGGAACGUGCCCCAAAGUGAGGAAUAACUGCCCGAAAGGGUAGCUAAUACCGCAUAUGAUCUUCGGAUUAAAGGAUUUAUCCGCUUUGGGAGCGGCCCGCGUCGGAUUAGGUAGUUGGUGAGGUAAUGGCUCACCAAGCCCACGAUCCGUAGCUGGUCUGAGAGGAUGAUCAGCCAGACUGGAACUGAGACACGGUCCAGACUCCUACGGGAGGCAGCAGUGAGGAAUCUUCCACAAUGGGCGAAAGCCUGAUGGAGCAACGCCGCGUGCAGGAUGAAGGCCUUCGGGUCGUAAACUGCUUUUAUAAGUGAAGAAUAUGACGGUAGCUUAUGAAUAAGCACCGGCUAACUACGUGCCAGCAGCCGCGGUAACA
rnacentral:rRNA from 1 species